rnacentral:rRNA from 1 species
UGCGCAGGCGGCCUGGUAAGUCAGGGUGAAAUAUGACGGCUCAACCGUCAAACGGCCUCUGAAACUGCAAGGCUUGAGGUCCGGGAGAGGAUGGUGGAAUUCCUGGUGUAGCGGUGAAAUGCGUAAAUAUCAGGAGGAACACCGAUGGCGGAAGGCAGCCAUCUGGCCCGGUACUGACGCUCAUGCACGAAAGCUAGGGGAGCGAACA